GACGAACGCUGGCGGCGCGCUUAACACAUGCAAGUCGAACGGAAAGGCCUGCUUUCCCUUGUGGAUUGCGGGUACUCGAGUGGCGAACGGGUGAGUAACACGUGAGUGAUCUGCCCCCAACUUGGGUAUAAGCCUGGGAAACUGGGUCUAAUUCCCGAUAGGACUGCAGGGUGGUGCCUGUGGUGGAAAACGAUUUUCUAGUGGUUGGGGAUGAGCCCGCGGCCUAUCAGCUUGUUGUGGGGGGAAUGGCCUGCCAAGGCGGCGACGGGUGGGCGGCCUGAGGGGGUGGCAGGCAGCGUGGAGCGUGAGAGUCGGCCCGAACUCCGGCGCGAGGCAGCAGGGGGGAAAGUAGCGGAAUAGGCGGAAGCCUGAGGCAGCGACGGCGGGUGGGGGGUGGCGGGCUUGGGGUUGUAAACUCCUUUGGACCGCGAGGAAGCCACCUGGGUGGAAGUGUGGUGACGGUAGUGGUAGAAGAAGCACCGGCUAACUACGUG
rnacentral:rRNA from 1 species